GGGGUGCAGCAGGCGCGAAAACUCUACAAUGCAGGCAACUGCGAUAGGGGGACAUCGAGUGGCAUCCACCUUGGGUGCCUGUCCAACCGUCUAAAAAACGGUUGUUAGCAAGGGCCGGGUAAGACCGGUGCCAGCCGCCGCGGUAAUACCGGCGGCUCGAGUGGUGGCCGAUAUUAUUGAGUCUAAAGGGUCCGUAGCCGGCUUUGCAAGUCCCCUGGGAAAUCCAGCGGCUUAACCGUUGGGCUUUCAUGGGAUACUACAUUGCUUGGGACUGGGAGAGGUAGGAGGUACUCGGGGGGUAGGGGUGAAAUCCUGUAAUCCUCCGGGGACCACCGGUGGCGAAGGCGUCCUACCAGAACAGGUCCGACGGUGAGGGACGAAAGCUAGGGGCACGAACCGGAUUAGAUACCCGGGUAGUCCUAGCCGUAAACGAUGCCCGCUAGGUGUCACGACGGUCGUGAAUCGUCGUGGUGCCGUAGGGAAGCCGCGAAGCGGGCCACUUGGGAAGUACGGCCGCAAGGCUGAAACUUAAAGGAAUUGGCGGGGGAGCACAAGGGCGAAUGCGG
rnacentral:rRNA from 1 species